CCAAUAGCGUAUAUUAAAGUUGUUGCAGUUAAAAAGCUCGUAGUUGAAUUUCGGGGUUAGCAGGUCGGUCGUGCCAUUGGUAUGAACUGGUCUCGCUGAUCCCUCCCUCUUGACGAACUGUGAUGCCAUUAAUUUGGUGUCGCAGGGAAUCAGGACUGUUACUUUGAAAAAAUUAGAGUGUUUAAAGCAGGCUUUAGCUUGAAUACAUUAGCAUGGAAUAAUGAAAUAGGACGUUUGAUCCUAUUUUGUUGGUUUCUAGGAUUGACGUAAUGAUUAAUAGGGAUAGUUGGGGGCAUUAGUAUUCAAUUGUCAGAGGUGAAAUUCUUGGAUUUAUUGAAGACUAACUACUGCGAAAGCAUUUGCCAAGGAUGUUUUCAUUAAUCAAGAACGAAAGUUAGGGGAUCGAAGACGAUCAGAUACCGUCGUAGUCUUAACCAUAAACUAUGCCGACUAGGGAUCGGAUGAUGUUAAUUUUUUAAUGACUCAUUCGGCGCCUUACG
rnacentral:misc_RNA from 1 species